GAUGAACGCUGGCGGCGUGCUUAACACAUGCAAGUCGAACGGAAAGGCCCAAGCUUGCUUGGGUACUCGAGUGGCGAACGGGUGAGUAACACGUGGGUGAUCUGCCCUGCACUUCGGGAUAAGCCUGGGAAACUGGGUCUAAUACCGGAUAGGACGAUGGUUUGGAUGCCAUUGUGGAAAGUUUUUUCGGUGUGGGAUGAGCUCGCGGCCUAUCAGCUUGUUGGUGGGGUAAUGGCCUACCAAGGCGUCGACGGGUAGCCGGCCUGAGAGGGUGUACGGCCACAUUGGGACUGAGAUACGGCCCAGACUCCGACGGGAGGCAGCAGUGGGGAAUAUUGGACAAUGGGCGCAAGCCUGAGGCAGCGACGCCGCGUGGGGGAUGACGGCCUUCGGGUUGUAAACUCCUUUCGCUAGGGACGAAGCGUUUUUGUGACGGUACCUGGAGAAGAAGCACCGGCUAACUACGUG
rnacentral:rRNA from 1 species